ensembl:lncRNA
CUUCCAGUACAUGAAGGGGGCUUACAGGAAAGCUGGGGAGGGACUUUUUACAAGGGCAGGUAGUGUCAGGACAAGGGGAAAUAGCUAUAAACUGGAAGAGGGUAGAUUUAGACUAGAUAUUAGGAAGAAAUUGAAGAAAUUCUUUACUGUGAGGGUGGUGAUACACUAGAGCAUGUUGCUCAGUGAGGUUAUGGAUGCCGUGUGCCAAGAAGAAUUCAAGGCCAGGCUGGAUGGCGCUUUGAGCAACCUGGUCUAGUGGGAGGUGUCCCUGCCUAUAGCAGGGGAAUUAGAACUAGAUGACCUUAAAGGUCCCUUCCAACCCAAACCAUUCUAUGAUUCUAUGAAACAUGCGUUGCUGACAGCAGAUGAAGUGUUGGGCUUCACUCAUCCCUCACUCAGUGGACUUUGUCAUAGGCGAAUGUGGGGGAAGCUCAGAUGGACUCCACAUUCUGUCUUCAUCUCAAAGCGCAGAGCCUCGGGAACGUAAAGUGAAGGAGACUAUUAAACAGUACAACACAUACAGAUGGGAUGACAAGAAAUGAAGUACAGCUGAAAAUAUGCCACUGGUAUGAUCCACUCCAGUGGGGAGAGAUGAGAAAUCACUGCAAUCCUUUCUGAAGUUCAAGUUCCAUUUUACCCUACAGUAGAAGUUUUGAUAAGAAGAUCAUUUUCUGAUACCACUCAUCUGUAAUAAGCAUUACUGGAUUUUCAGUUACUUCCCUGCCUGGGCAGCUGACCCAAUAGCUGAACCAAUACCAAAAAUCUCCUAUCUUAAAAUGGAGCUGUCCUAUUUACUUUCUGGAUUUCUUAAGAUGCUCAUAUGAGUUAAUAAGAAACAACUUAAUGAGUUCUGUGAUACCACUGUAAACCCCUGUCUUCUGUAGGAAUCAUACCAAGUAUAAUUAUAAGUAAUUAUUAUCCCACACACAGACUGAAUUCAGAAUGAAGUCUUUCAACACAAAAUUUGAUUGGAAACAAUUUAAAAACAUGAGGUAUAUUUAAUUAUCUAUAUUAUGAUAAUGCCUAGGGGCCUUAACUGAGAUAGGGAUCUUGUUGUGAUAUACUUUGUAGAAAUGCAUAGUAAGGGAGUUGCCUCAUUUUGUAGCCUACCUGAACAAGGUGGAAGCAAAUGUGAAGGGAAACAUUAAAUGACUUGACGCUUUUCAGUACCUCUGUGGUCUGAGGUCUCUUGAUUUCCCUUUCAUCUGCUCCUUUUGACCUUCAUUGCCUUUCUUCUGAAAAAAAGGUACAGACUGUCAGGAUGGAUGGGUCCCCAAGCCUCUAUAUAUGACUAGGUCGGUGAUGUAUAUGUUACAUGAAUAAUGUGUAUACACUUACAGUUUUGAAAUCUAUGUUUACAAUCCUAGAAGUAUUUGCUCAGGCUAUAGAGGAAUUCAACAUUUCUUUUAAAUGUGGGAGUCUAGCCAAAUAUCUUAAAAGGUAGCAGCUAAUCAGGUUGAAAUUAAACUGAAAAAACAUUAUCAAAA